GCUUGAGGCUUUGCUCUGAGUCAUCUCUCUCUAAUGGCAAUUUUAAGGUCACUCCUGAACAUGUAAAGGUUUGCCACACUGUUUGAAGAAACGUGCACGUAUCCAUCUGCAAAAAGCCAGCUGUCCAGGAAGCAGUUCUAUUGUAAAGAGUCUACUCCUGCCUUUCAGGGAAAUAUGACCGGGGUUCUGGCUGACCAGCAGAGCUAUAAUCUUAUUCCAGCAACGCCAAUAAGCAACUGGUACGUGACCAUGAGAAGAGAACUUCAGCAUUGCAAGACCAGAACACUGGCUAUCAAAAAGAUUGAUCACAAGGGGAUAUAUUGUUGCCUGAAUAUUUUAUCAACUGGCAUGGAAAAUCUCUACCUUCCAAGAAAACUCCCUCCCAGAAGAGCCGAGUAAAUCUCAGAUGAGCGAUCAACUUGACCCACCAC